rnacentral:lncRNA from 1 species
ACAUUUAUAUAUAUAUAUGUAUAUAUCAAACGGAGAAGGGGGGUAGGGGGGGGAAAUAUUCUAAAAGAAAUGGGAGUGGGGAGGGAGAGGAAGGGUGAACCUUUGGUGUCUCUGCAGAGAGGCAGGUGGAAGAGAAAAGCUGAAAAUAAUUAAGCCGGGUUUUGAGGAAUCCUUAGGAGAGCGGAAAAACGCAGUUAAAAGCCAGCAAAGCAUUAGAUCCAAGCAAUCAAGUCUUCCUCUUCUUCUUCCCUCCCAAAAAUAUACAGCAGGGUUUCAGAGUAGCUUUCCCAGCAGUGAAGAGAGAGAACGGUCUUCUCCAGAAAGAUAUGUUUGGUUAAAAUCCACUCGUCUGCUUUUCUUUCUUUCUCUCUCUUCUCCCCCCACUUUUUUUUUUUUCUCCUUUUCCUUUUUUUUUUUAAAAUUCUGCUUCUGAAUCUCUCUCUGUGAAACUAGAUCCAGUCUUUGUAGCCAGGGGCUGCAUUAAGGAUUACAUCAGGCUUUUAUAAGCUUUCCAGAUCACACAUUAGAGUGAGAGAGAGAGAGAGAGAGAGAGAGGGGAAGGGAGGGAUGAGAGGGAGGGAUGAAACGCACACACACAUCCACACGCGCACGCACGGAUCGGAGCUUUGUAAAACAGGCGGCUAUAGGCACGGACCCGAAGUGCCACAGCAUUUGCAUCGGGCAUGCUCCGCUCGCCUAUAGGAGGAGAGGAUGGAUGGAUGGAUGGAUGGAUGGAUGGAUGGAUGGAUGGAUGGAUGGAUGGAUGGAUGGAUGGAUGGAUGGAUGGAUGGAAGGAAAGNNNNNNNNNNNNNNNNNNAAGAGCCAGAAAAUGCCGAAGCGCGUUGGCAACCGGGCAGAGCAGCCUCCCCGGGACAACUUAGCCCUAAGCAGGGAGACAGGAGGUGAAAAGGGAUCUGCGGUCAGAGGGUUUGGCAAAUUUGAUGAAUUUGUGGUUCAUGCCCACAAAACGAGAUUGUGAACUCGGCUCUGGAUUAUUACUGUUUGCUUAAACACGAUCAGUUGGAAAGAUGGAAAAGCACUCAAGUUCUGCUGCCAGAAAUAUGCUGAUGAGUUCUGCUGCCUGGCAGUGACAUUUCGAACCUCACAUGUAGUCUGCCAGCAUCUGGCUCAACCUCAGCCUCACAAGACUGAACAUAUCCUGGGGGGAAAAAACAAAACAAAACAUUAAAACACACAACUUCUGAGAAACUCCCUUUGUCGUUGUAUAUCAAGGAUUUACUUGCAUCUGCUCAAUUCUUAACCCCUGGAUUUAACAUUGCUUCCAAAUCCACUUCAUCAAGGUUGACA